AUGCUCGUCAGCAAGGCUCCCAAUCCUUUGCAUUCUGCUGUAGCUGGUGACACCGCCGCUUUAGAGAACUCUGACGUGCAGCGGACGCACCACCGAAACCAUUUCCAUCAAACACCGCUACAUCCGCACCAGAGACUUGAACCACCGCAUGCAUUUUUCAAAGUGCUUUUCACAUGAAACGUAGAAACCCGGCACCUGCAAA
rnacentral:lncRNA from 1 species